AACAGAACUUUGAAUUCUAAAAGAGAUAUCAAAACAGGGAUGAAGCUUCAGCAUCUUGUAUUGUCGGUCGAUAGAGCCUCUGUAAAGCAAACGGUUGUGGCAGUAGAAAAUGGUGAUGAGUGUUGACCCUUGCGUUUAACUUGGAUCGAUCUGCAGCAACACAAUUUCCGGUCGGUUUUACGUUUAUGUUAUAUGUUAUGAUGUGAUUCAAUUUGUCGUCUUCAAUAAAAU
rnacentral:lncRNA from 1 species